rnacentral:rRNA from 1 species
GCUCAGGAUGAACGCUGGCGGCGUGCCUAAUACAUGCAAGUCGAGCGAAUGGAUUAAGAGCUUGCUCUUAUGAAGUUAGCGGCGGACGGGUGAGUAACACGUGGGUAACCUGCCCAUAAGACUGGGAUAACUCCGGGAAACCGGGGCUAAUACCGGAUAACAUUUUGAACCGCAUGGUUCGAAAUUGAAAGGCGGCUUCGGCUGUCACUUAUGGAUGGACCCGCGUCGCAUUAGCUAGUUGGUGAGGUAACGGCUCACCAAGGCAACGAUGCGUAGCCGACCUGAGAGGGUGAUCGGCCACACUGGGACUGAGACACGGCCCAGACUCCUACGGGAGGCAGCAGUAGGGAAUCUUCCGCAAUGGACGAAAGUCUGACGGAGCAACGCCGCGUGAGUGAUGAAGGCUUUCGGGUCGUAAAACUCUGUUGUUAGGGAAGAACAAGUGCUAGUUGAAUAAGC